CUACGGGCCGCUCCAGUGAGGAAUAUUGCACAAUGGGGGGAACCCUGAUGCAGCAACGCCGCGUGGAGGAUGACGCAUUUCGGUGUGUAAACUCCUUUUAUAUGUCAAGAAAAUGACGGUAGCAUAUGAAUAAGCACCGGCUAACUCCGUGCCAGCAGCCGCGGUAAUACGGAGGGUGCAAGCGUUACUCGGAAUCACUGGCGUAAAGGACGCGUAGGCGGGCUUGUAAGUCAGGUGUGAAAUCCUACAGCUUAACUGUAGAACUGCACUUGAAACUACGAGCCUAGAGUAUGGGAGGGGGAGAUGGAAUUAGUGGUGUAGGGGUAAAAUCCGUAGAUAUCACUAGGAAUACCUAAAGCGAAGGCGAUCUCCUGGAACAUAACUGACGCUAAGGCGUGAAAGCGUGGGGAGCAAACAGGAUUAGAUACCCGGGUAGUC
rnacentral:rRNA from 1 species